rfam:Trichomalopsis sarcophagae strain Alberta scaffold5018, whole genome shotgun sequence.
GUUUUUAAAUGAUGAGUUCAUAGUUCAACUGAGUAUAAAUUGAUGACACAUUUGCUUAUGUCUUUCGCUCCUAUCUGAUUUCGUCU